rnacentral:lncRNA from 1 species
UAAAUGGGAAUAUUUUGAAGUUUAGAGUCUACUGUUUCUUUUUUUUACAAUUACUUACGGAUCACCCUGUAUAAAAAUAUAAACAAAAAUGGAGCAAAAAUGAUAUUUAUUUAAUACUUAGGUAUAAUUUAUUUCAUGAGAAGAUAAAAAUCGUGAUCACCAAUCUCGACAUGACGUUUUUUAGUUAAUAAAAAUAGAAUUGGAUGCAGAUUAAGGAUUUAUUAGAUUCUGUAAUGAAAUAUAUUUAAAACAGUAAAUAUUCCAGAUGAAAAAUAAAGUGAUAACGACAGCUUACAAGGUACCUACCUGUAAAAAUAUAAUCCCUUUCUGAAUAACAUAAUACGUCAUUUUAUAAAAAGGUAACUAUGGAUAUUGUGAUUUGUCACGUUUAUUUCUUUUGAAAAUACACAACAAUAUUACUGUUUAAUCUCCUUGUCUCCCAAUAAUUUACCCAUUUCAUUGUUAAGUUAUAUUAUCUUCCUAAUUCAUUGUUUAGUUUUCGGAAAAUAUGUAAAUGUGCAGAACAGCCAACUCUUUAUCUCACUUUUCUUAACAUUGCUUUUAGGAAAGAUUAUUUAAAUAAGAUUUCAAAAGGUUUUACGACAUGAACGUGUAUUAUUAUAUUAUAUUGUAUUUUGGUAAUCCUAAGAUAGGCCCUUAAUUUUUGUAAAAUCGUAAAUCCUCUUUUAGUGGAUUUUUCAUAACAUCAUGAAACAUCUUUGUCCGAUAAUUUAGUAUAAAUACGGUAACUUACUCUUAAAAUUUUAAAUCAGUUUUAAGUGUAGUACUGAAAUAUUUCGAGGCCUGUUAAUAUUUGUGGAAGUGAUCUACGUACGAUGAAUAUGAACAAAAUUAAACAUAAAUAUAAGUUUCGUUCACGUACAGUGAAAUUAGUGAAUGAAGCCUUAAGUACAGGUAAGUUACAUGUUAGUUAUAAUAGAUCUUAGUCCAUAUCUUAUUGCAAAGCUAUCUAUUUGGGUAUUUUCCAUUUUUACUUUUUACUGUGUACCUUUUACUGUCAUCCUUAUUAACAUUACAAAUUUCCAAUUCAUAAAAAAUGUGGUCAAUGUCUUACACAUUUAUUCAUCUCCUCGUCUUAUCAUAUUUAUGUUCUCCUAAA